rnacentral:rRNA from 1 species
UGGGGAAUAUUGGGCAAUGGGCGAAAGCCUGACCCAGCCACGCCGCGUGAGUGAUGAAGGCCUUCGGGUCGUAAAGCUCUGUGGGGAGGGACGAACAAGCACCGUAUUAACACCACGGGGCCCUGACGGUACCUCCUUAGCAAGCACCGGCUAACCCUGUGCCAGCAGCCGCGGUAAUACAGGGGGUGCAAACGUUGCUCGGAAUCAUUGGGCGUAAAGCGCACGUAGGCGGUUCGUUAUGUCGGAUGUGAAAGCCCUUGGCUUAACCGAGGAAGUGCAUCCGAAACUGGCGAGCUAGAGUACGAAAGAGGAUCGCGGAAUUCCCGGUGUAGAGGUGAAAUUCGUAGAUAUCGGGAGGAACACCGGUGGCGAAGGCGGCGAUCUGGGUCGAUACUGACGCUGAGGUGCGAAAGCGUGGGGAGCAAACA